UUUUUUAGCUUUUAAAAAGAAGACCAUUUCAUUGCCUUUUGGAAUCGUUGAGUUUCAUUUCAAUUUUGCUUUGUUGAUUCUUUUUUUUCUUUUUGAAAAAAAAAAUAUUGUAUUUGCACUCACAACCCAACAGUUUAUUCCCCUCUCCCGAAAAGAUUAAACAAUGGCAGAUGGUGAGGAUAUUCAGCCACUGGUGUGUGAUAAUGGAACGGGAAUGGUGAAGGCUGGAUUUGCUGGAGACGAUGCGCCACGAGCAGUGUUUCCUAGCAUUGUUGGUAGACCACGUCACACGGGUGUUAUGGUUGGUAUGGGUCAAAAAGAUGCGUAUGUUGGUGAUGAAGCUCAAUCGAAACGUGGUAUUCUAUCUUUGAAAUAUCCAAUUGAGCAUGGGAUUGUAAGUAAUUGGGACGAUAUGGAGAAAAUAUGGCAUCAUACAUUCUACAACGAACUUCGAGUGGCUCCAGAGGAACACCCUGUUCUUCUCACAGAGGCACCUCUAAACCCUAAGGCGAAUCGCGAAAAGAUGACUCAAAUCAUGUUUGAGACCUUCAACGCGCCUGCAAUGUAUGUCGCGAUUCAAGCCGUACUAUCUCUAUAUGCCAGUGGGCGUACAACAGGGAUUGUCAUGGACUCUGGGGAUGGGGUGAGUCACACGGUACCAAUCUAUGAGGGAUAUGCUCUACCACAUGCUAUCCUUCGUCUCGAUUUAGCUGGACGGGACCUGACGGAUCACCUGAUGAAGAUCUUGACAGAGCGUGGGUACUCGUUCACAACAAGUGCUGAAAGAGAAAUCGUGAGGGAUGUGAAGGAAAAGCUAUCUUACAUAGCUCUCGACUAUGAACAAGAGAUUGAAACCUCAAAAACUAGCUCAAACGUGGAGAAGAGCUACGAGUUGCCUGAUGGUCAAGUGAUUACGAUUGGUGCUGAACGUUUCAGAUGCCCUGAAGUGCUGUUCCAGCCUUCCAUGAUCGGAAUGGAAGCUGCUGGGAUACAUGAAACAACGUACAACUCCAUCAUGAAAUGUGACGUUGAUAUCAGGAAGGAUCUUUAUGGUAACAUUGUACUUAGCGGGGGGACGACUAUGUUUCCAGGAAUCGCUGAUAGAAUGAGCAAAGAAAUCACAGCAUUGGCUCCAAGUAGCAUGAAAAUUAAGGUGGUUGCACCACCAGAGAGGAAGUAUAGUGUUUGGAUUGGAGGUUCAAUUUUGGCUUCUUUAAGUACCUUCCAACAGAUGUGGAUUGCAAAGGCAGAAUAUGAUGAAUCUGGUCCAUCCAUUGUGCAUAGAAAAUGCUUCUAAAUUAUUCCUUUUUAGACAUGUAAUUCCUCAUGUAACAAUCAAUGGCAAAUAAAUUUUACAGUAAAACCAAUUUUCUUGGUUCUCAA